rnacentral:tRNA from 1 species
UCCCUGGUGGCUCAGAUGGUAAAGCGUCUGCCUGCAAUGCAGGAGACCCGGGUUCGAUUCCUGAUCGGGAAG